GCCCCGGUGGUGUAGGCCGGUCAAUCAUACAGCCCUUUCGAGGCUGCGACGCGGGUUCAAAUCCCGCCCGGGGCACCA
rnacentral:tRNA from 1 species